UGGGGAAUUUUCCGCAAUGGGCGAAAGCCUGACGGAGCAAUACCGCGUGAGGGAGGAAGGCUUUUGGGUUGUGAACCUCUUUUCUUAGGGAAGAAGAAAGUGACGGUACCUAAGGAAUCAGCAUCGGCUAACUCCGUGCCAGCAGCCGCGGUAAUACGGAGGGUGCGAGCGUUAAUCGGAAUUACUGGGCGUAAAGCGCGCGUAGGCGGUUAUCUAAGCUAGAUGUGAAAGCCCUGGGCUCAACCUGGGAAUGGCAUUUAGAACUGGAUGACUGGAGUACAGCAGAGGGGUGUGGAAUUUCCGGUGUAGCGGUGAAAUGCGUAGAGAUCGGAAGGAACAUCAGUGGCGAAGGCGACACCCUGGGUUGAUACUGACGCUGAGGUGCGAAAGCGUGGGGAGCAAACAGGAUUAGAUACCCCUGUAGUCC
rnacentral:rRNA from 1 species